GUAGUCCACGCCGUAAACGAUGAAUACUAGGUGUAGGAGGUAUCGACCCCUUCUGUGCCGCAGUUAACACAAUAAGUAUUCCGCCUGGGGAGUACGAUCGCAAGAUUAAAACUCAAAGGAAUUGACGGGGGCCCGCACAAGCAGCGGAGCAUGUGGUUUAAUUCGAAGCAACGCGAAGAACCUUACCUAGACUUGACAUCUCCUGGAAUUACCCGUUAAUCGGGGAAGCCUUCGGGGCAGGAAGACAGGUGGUGCAUGGUUGUCGUCAGCUCGUGUCGUGAGAUGUUGGGUUCAAGUCCCGCAACGAGCGCAACCCUUAUCAUUAGUUGCUACCAUUAAGUUGAGCACUCUAGUGAGACUGCCACGGUUAACGUGGAGGAAGGUGGGGAUGACGUCAAAUCAUCAUGCCCCUUAUGUCUAGGGCUACACACGUGCUACAAUGGUGAAUACAAAGAGAUGCAAUACCGCGAGGUGGAGCCAAACUCAAAAAUUCAUCCCAGUUCGGAUUGUAGGCUGAAACUCGCCUACAUGAAGCCGGAGUUGCUAGUAAUCGCGAAUCAGCAUGUCGCGGUGAAUACGUUCCCGGGCCUUGUACACACCGCCCGUCACACCAUGAGAGAUGGUAACACCCGGAAGUCCGUGAGGUAACCCGUAAGGGAGCCAGCGGCCGA
rnacentral:rRNA from 1 species